AACGCACAUUGCGCCCGCCAGCAUUCUGGCGGGCAUGCCUGUCCGAACGUCAUUUCAACCCCCAAGCCCCGCUUGGUGUUGGGGCGCUACGCGAGAGCGUACGCCCUCAAAAUCAGUGGCGGGCUCGCCGAAGACCCGGGCGUAGUAAUACGUCUCCCCGGAGUCCCAGGCGGGUCCCUGCCGUUAAACCCCCAAAAUCACAGAAGGUUGACUUCGGAUCAGGUAGGAAUACCCGCUGAACUUAA
rnacentral:misc_RNA from 1 species